rnacentral:rRNA from 1 species
AGCGGCGGACGGGUGAGUAACGCGUGGGUAACCUGCCUUAUACAGGGGGAUAACAGUUAGAAAUGACUGCUAAUACCGCAUAAGCGCACAGUACUGCAUGGUACAGUGUGAAAAACUCCGGUGGUAUAAGAUGGACCCGCGUCUGAUUAGCCAGUUGGCGGGGUAACGGCCCACCAAAGCGACGAUCAGUAGCCGACCUGAGAGGGUGACCGGCCACAUUGGGACUGAGACACGGCCCAAACUCCUACGGGAGGCAGCAG